CAUGGUUCACCAUUAGUUUACAUUUAACUGCAGAGUGAACUUCCUCAUAUAACGACAGUAUAAGAUAUCAAUAUGAGGAAAAUAACAGCUACGCUUUUAUUUGCGUCGUUAAUUAUCAAUUUAAAUAUGGCCAUGGUAAUAAAUCACCAAGUGAACGAUAACAUAAAUAUACCUUUUAUUAUCUAUAAGAAAAAUCCAGAAUCAGGGAGUAUUGAAAGUGAUAUCGCUGACGACGAUUUUCCUACAGAUGUUAAAACAAAAGAAUCAGAAAACGGUAAUAAAGUUACAAACAAUAUUCUUAACGCCGCCGAAAAAAAAGAAAAUGUUCAAGAUAUUCUAAAAAUGAACAAGAAAAGCGAACAAGUCGAAAUUCCUGAAUAUGUUGAUGAUAACAGAGAAGAAUCAGCAAAUAUUAAUAAAGUUGCAAACAAUAUUAUCAACGCCAACGAAAAUAAAAAAGAAAA